GAUGAACGCUGGCGGCGUGCCUAAUACAUGCAAGUCGAGCGAACGGACGAGAAGCUUGCUUUUCUGAUGUUAGCGGCGGACGGGUGAGUAACACGUGGAUAACCUACCUAUAAGACUGGGAUAACUUCGGGAAACCGGAGCUAAUACCGGAUAAUAUUUUGAACCGCAUGGUUCAAAAGUGAAAGACGGUCUUGCCGUCACUUAUAGAUGGAUCCGCGCUGCAUUAGCUAGUUGGUAAGGUAACGGCUUACCAAGGCAACGAUGCAUAGCCGACCUGAGAGGGUGAUCGGCCACACUGGAACUGAGACACGGUCCAGACUCCUACGGGAGGCAGCAGUAGGGAAUCUUCCGCAAUGGGCGAAAGCCUGACGGAGCAACGCCGCGUGAGUGAUGAAGGUCUUCGGAUCGUAAAACUCUGUUAUUAGGGAAGAACAUAUGUGUAAGUAACUGUGCACAUCUUGACGGUACCUAAUCAGAAAGCCACGGCUAACUACGUGCCAGCAGCCGCGGUAAUACGUAGGUGGCAAGCGUUAUCCGGAAUUAUUGGGCGUAAAGCGCGCGUAGGCGGUUUUUUAAGUCUGAUGUGAAAGCCCACGGCUCAACCGUGGAGGGUCAUUGGAAACUGGAAAACUUGAGUGCAGAAGAGGAAAGUGGAAUUCCAUGUGUAGCGGUGAAAUGCGCAGAGAUGUGGAGGAACACCAGUGGCGAAGGCGACUUUCUGGUCUGUAACUGACGCUGAUGUGCGAAAGCGUGGGGAUCAAACAGGAUUAGAUACCCUGGUAGUCCACGCCGUAAACGAUGAGUGCUAAGUGUUAGGGGGUUUCCGCCCCUUAGUGCUGCAGCUAACGCAUUAAGCACUCCGCCUGGGGAGUACGACCGCAAGGUUGAAACUCAAAGGAAUUGACGGGGGCCCGCACAAGCGGUGGAGCAUGUGGUUUAAUUCGAAGCAACGCGAAGAACCUUACCAAAUCUUGACAUCCUUUGACAACUCUAGAGAUAGAGCCUUCCCCUUCGGGGGACAAAGUGACAGGUGGUGCAUGGUUGUCGUCAGCUCGUGUCGUGAGAUGUUGGGUUAAGUCCCGCAACGAGCGCAACCCUUAAGCUUAGUUGCCAUCAUUAAGUUGGGCACUCUAAGUUGACUGCCGGUGACAAACCGGAGGAAGGUGGGGAUGACGUCAAAUCAUCAUGCCCCUUAUGAUUUGGGCUACACACGUGCUACAAUGGACAAUACAAAGGGCAGCGAAACCGCGAGGUCAAGCAAAUCCCAUAAAGUUGUUCUCAGUUCGGAUUGUAGUCUGCAACUCGACUACAUGAAGCUGGAAUCGCUAGUAAUCGUAGAUCAGCAUGCUACGGUGAAUACGUUCCCGGGUCU
rnacentral:rRNA from 1 species